CUUUGCUGAAGUUGGUUGAUGAAAAAGAACCAGUUUGCGUCAGAGAAUCUUGAUGAAUGGAAAAAUCAAGGCCGAAGGCCUGGCACAAAACUUAGGAUAUCCUGGAGCGUUUGCUCACAUUUUCAUCUUCUCAGAAUUCAACCAAACCACCGACUCUGGGCGGGUCACUGAAUGUGAGGCCUUUAAAGUCUGCGAAGAUUCCUGCC